rnacentral:snoRNA from 1 species
GGCAAGUGAUGUCUGUUUUCACGAUGGUCUUCGGAUGCCCACCACGGGCAGUGCCGAGAAAUCUGCUCGGCAAAGCUGAUGCCGGCAG